rnacentral:sRNA from 1 species
GUUCUCUCGCGCGGGUGUCGCUGGGCUGUCGGCCUGGACCUUGCAGCCGCAAUGGAUUCAAGUUCGAAAUAUGGCAACUUUGAAAGAUAUUACCAGGAGACUAAAGUCCAUCAAAAACAUCCAGAAAAUUACCAAGUCUAUGAAAAUGGUAGCAGCAGCAAAAUAUGCCCGAGCUGAGAGAGAGCUGAAACCAGCUCGAAUAUAUGGAUUGGGAUCUUUAGCUCUGUAUGAAAAAGCUGAUAUCAAGGGGCCUGAAGACAAGAAGAAACACCUCCUUAUUGGUGUGUCCUCAGAUCGAGGACUGUGUGGUGCUAUUCAUUCCUCCAUUGCUAAACAGAUGAAAAGCGAGGUUGCUACACUAACAGCAGCUGGGAAAGAAGUUAUGCUUGUUGGAAUUGGUGACAAAAUCAGAGGCAUACUUUAUAGGUAAUUUAAAUAUAUAUUGUUUAUUUUCAUAAAGAUGUAAGCACGAAUAAAUCUUUUCUCAAAAGUUUUGACAGACUCUCAAAACCUUCAUCAAUAACAAGGUAUAUUCUUCGGGGCCUUUUUUGGUAUAUUCACAAGGGGGUGUUUGUUUCCUUUUUCUUUUUUCCAGGAUAUAUUGGAACAUUUCUGUUUUCCUUCCCCUGUUUUCUACCUUUGCUUCUUCAUCCGGAUCAUAAGUUGAAUGCCAUGUGAAUAUCAAAAGCUAUCGGCAUUAAGCCAAAUGAGGCAUCUGAGGAGCUGUUACAGCCUGGAAAUGUUAGCAAUAGUUCAUUAGGAUUAGAAGGAGAGGAAUAAAG